GACGAACGCUGGCGGCGUGCCUAAUACAUGCAAGUCGAGCGGAAGUUGAAGAGCUUGCUCUUCAACUUCAGCGGCGGACGGGUGAGUAACACGUGGGCAACCUGCCCUGCAGAUCGGGAUAACUCCGGGAAACCGGUGCUAAUACCGAAUAGUUUGUCCUCCCUCCUGGGAGGAUACGGAAAGACGGUUUCGGCUGUCACUGCAGGAUGGGCCCGCGGCGCAUUAGCUAGUUGGUGGGGUAACGGCCCACCAAGGCCACGAUGCGUAGCCGACCUGAGAGGGUGAUCGGCCACACUGGGACUGAGACACGGCCCAGACUCCUACGGGAGGCAGCAGUAGGGAAUCUUCCGCAAUGGACGCAAGUCUGACGGAGCAACGCCGCGUGAGUGAUGAAGGUUUUCGGAUCGUAAAACUCUGUUGCGAGGGAAGAAACCGUGCCAAUUAACUACUGGCACCUUGACGGUACCUCGCCAGAAAGCCACGGCUAACUAC
rnacentral:rRNA from 1 species